rnacentral:misc_RNA from 1 species
GGCAGUGGUGGUCCACGAGCUCCUUCUGCGCCGGUGCCAAUUUCGACGCAGGCAAAUGCACCACCACCUUUUCUAAGCAAGACUUACGACAUGGUGAACGACCCCGCGACGGACGCUAUCGUUUCCUGGAGUCCGACGAACAAUAGCUUCGUAGUUUGGAACCCGCCAGAAUUCGCGCGCGACCUCCUACCCAAGUACUUCAAGCACAACAAUUUCUCCAGUUUCGUUAGGCAGCUCAACACCUAUGGUUUCCGGAAAGUUGAUCCAGACCGCUGGGAAUUUGCUAAUGAGGGAUUCUUGAGGGGUCAAAAGCA